UACAACACGGGAGACUUUUAUUUUGAAGACUCAUGAUUUGUGGUCACAACAAACAUUACUGACACCUACCCAUGAGCCCACUCUUUUUCAUUUACUAUAACAAGCAUCCUCAACCACUGAGCACCGACCAACACUGGAUGUCCAUGGACGUUGAAAACGUUUCAAGCCUCCAAGCUGGCUACCUAACGUUAACAUACCGUCGUAGCAGCAUUAGCAGCUUGUUUUGCUGGCGAUAUGGAUUCAAAAGCAUCCAUGUGGCACGUGGCUGAGCAGCGUAAUGUGAUGCAGUAUGGGAAGCUGGAGGAAUUUGUGACUUUGGUGACAGAGAUGGUUCCAGAGCUGUUAAGCUCCAGGCAGAGGACCCAACUCAUUCUAGGACUGAGAGCAAGGUUCUUAACAAGAAAGAAACAAGAAAGUGGAGGCAUCAAAGUCUAACUUUGUGGAGCUGGUCCAAACCCUGCUGGAAGACCCAGUGAAGAGGGAGCACUUUUUUCAGGAGGUGUUCCCAGUGCUGCAGAUUCUGGUGUGACACAGCACUGCAGAUUCUAGUGUGGGAGUUUUUCUCCAGAUUGGAGCAGCUGCUGCUGGUACCCAGCUUUACACAGACAACAUCUUGUCUCAGCCUUGCCUUCUCUGACCUGGAGGAGUGUGUUCAGUCUGUCUCUGACCCUGAGCACCUGAAGACACUGCUACAGCAUCAAAGACACCUGGGACACCUAAACAGAGAUCAUUUGUUCUACGACUCUGACACCAUCCUGUCCGCUCUGACCCUCACUUCCUUGGUAAACUGGAAACAAACUUCAGUGGAGGCUUGAGGUCGUGACACUAGUUCUGGACAGCAGAAACCAGGAUCAUCACUACACGCGCGCCCAAUGGCCGUUGACGGCAGAACCGGAUAGUGACAUGCCCUCCCAGGUCUUCUCCUGCACCCUGUGCCCAUUCUCCCACAGGAGAGAGGUGAACCUUCAGCAGCACAUCAGAAAGGAACAUCUAGCAGAGGAGGACAGCAGGAGCCUGGACUCUGGAGGAGCUGAGAACUCACUGCCAUCCAGUCAAACAAUACAGAGACCCUCAAUCAAGACAACCAAGAAGUACAUCUGCUUUAAAUGUGGAAAGGGUUUCAGAAGCCCAUCGGACCUGAAACGACAUAAGGGUGUUCACACAGACAUGCAGCCGUUCCAUUGCAACCAGUGUGAUAAAAGAUUCAAAGCGAAGGGUAGUCUAAAACAGCACCAACGGGUUCACUCAGGAGAAAGGCCUUAUGAUUGCUCACAUUGUGGCAGGGGGUUUAGGACAUCAGAUAUCUUAGUCUCAUUUACGCAUUCAUACUGGGGAGCGAUCUUAUGGGUGUACAAUAUGUGGGAAGAGAUUUGUUCAACGGCAAGUACUAACAAGACUCAUUAGGAUGCACAGUGGAGAGAAACCAUACUUAUAGCAUUUGUGGAAAGACCUUCGCAUGCUCAGGGGAGCUGAUGUUACACUCAAGGAUCCACACAGGGGAACGACCGUAUCAUUGUGAACAAUGUGGGAAUACUUUGUCUAGCAAGUAAACUGAAAGUUCAUCAACAAAGUCAUACAGGCGAACACCCAUACCCCUGUACACAGUGCCCCAAACGCUUCUCCACCUCCACCAGACUAGUGAAACACAUGCGAAUUCAUACUGGGGAGAAACCUUACCCAUGUGUAAAGUGUGGCAAAAGAUAUUCUGGAAGGGGAAACAUGAGAAUACAUCAAUGAAUGCAU